rnacentral:rRNA from 1 species
AACGAACGCUAGCGGCAGGCCUAAUACAUGCAAGACGAACGGUAAGUUGAGUAGCAAUACUUAGCCAAGAGUGUCGUACGGGUGCGUAACACGUAUGCAACCUACCCUAUACAGGAGGAUAGCCUAGGGAAACCUGGAUUAACCCUUCAUAGUAUUAUUGGAUGGCAUCAUUUGAUAAUUAAAACUGAGGUGGUAUAGGAUGGGCAUGCGCCUGAUUAGUUAGUUGGCGGGGUAAUGGCCCACCAAGACGAUGAUCAGUAGGGGUUCUGAGAGGAAGAUCCCCCACACUGGCACUGAGAUACGGGCCAGACUCCUGCGGGAGGCAGCAGUAGGGAAUAUUGGUCAAUGGAUGCAAGUCUGAACCAGCCAUGCCGCGUGCAGGAAGAAGGCCUUUCUGGGGUUGUAAAACUGCUUUUUGCCAGGGGAUAAAAUUUCCAUGCGUGGAAAACUGAAGGUACCUGGUGAAUAAGCCACGGCUAACUACGUGCCAGCAGCCGCGGU